CAGCGGAGCUUUGGUGUACAGCUCCCCGCACCGUGAUCGAGCAAGCGGGGCACAGGCAAUGAACAUCUCCGCUGUUGACGCGUCACUGAAUAUCUAACGUCUGACGUGAAACUAACUUCACCACGGUAUCAUUUGGAUAAUUUCAGCCCUGGAACUGCCGAUCUCCACUGAACUAAAGGUAAAAUUAAAAUUCUACUACUACUUUCAUAGGCCUAAUGAAACACACAGGAUAGUUAGAUAAAGCAAGAGGGGUAGAGCGCUUCACUGGGUCUUAAAAGAGUAAAAAAAUAACAGUACAGGUGCUCUACGAGGGUUAAGGCAGUGGUCUUAGAACAGAAAAUUACCCUUACAGAAAAAUGUAAAAAUGGGUGAGGUACAAACCCGAGGCACUUCGACUGAGUAUAUUAAAAGUACUUUAUUACAUGAAGGGACGACAAUGUGUUUCGACCAGCAUGAUGGUCUUCGUCAGGGAAAAGUAGUCACGACUAUCGACUGGUCUGUCUUGCUGGAAAAUGUGCACUUAAAAUUUCAGCAACAACAAAAAAAUUAAAGUUAGAAAUGAUCUGAAAACUAGAACAUGCAAAAGCUCUGAAAAGUCUGUUUUUCAGAAUAGUUCUGCUUUAAAUCUGUGAAUGUGCUUUUCAGCCACACUGAAACCUCUCAUUUGUGUGACACACCUGUAGUAAUGUCAACCUAAUAAAAGAAACACACAAUCUUAUUUUACUUUCACUUUCUCUGUGUGUCAUGUAUUGUUGCUCUUCCUGUUUGAGUCUGUCAUACAGGUAAAAGCAGAGAGAGAAUGGAUCCACCCGUCUACCUGCUGCUGGUUCUGGUUCUGGCUCACACUCUCUCCACGGUCUCAUCACAGCUUUUCCGAUGUUUGUGCUGCUUCACACAAGGAUUUACAUAUUAAAGAAUUUGCCCAAUCACAUUUCAGCCAUCACUUGUUGCCAGGGAGAUACAUUUUGAGAACUCUGUGCACGUCUUCAGUGGGGUUGGGCCUGGCUGAGUUUACAGCUGUGGUCCUGAUGGAUGAGCUGCAGGUGGCUCAUUAUGAUGAACACCUCAAGGAACUGGU